GCAUAGAUAUCACAUAGAACACCGAUCGCGAAGGCAGGUGACCAACCAUGUACUGACGCUGAUGGACGAAAGCGUGGGUAGCGAACGGGAUUAGAUACCCCGGUAGUCCACGCCGUAAACGAUGGAUACUAGCUGUGGGGACUUCGGUCUCCGUGGCCAAGCGAAAGUGAUAAGUAUCCCACCUGGGGAGUACGUUCGCAAGAAUGAAACUCAAAGGAAUUGACGGGGGCCCGCACAAGCGGUGGAGCAUGUGGUUUAAUUCGAUGAUACGCGAGGAACCUUACCAGGGCUUAAAUGCAGGCUGCAUGGGGUAGAGAUACCCCUUUCUUCGGACCGCCUGCAAGGUGCUGCAUGGUUGUCGUCAGCUCGUGCCGUGAGGUGUCAGGUUAAGUCCUAUAACGAGCGCAACCCCUACCGUUAGUUGCCAGCAUGUCAAGAUGGGGACUCUAACGGGACUGCCGGUGCAAACCGUGAGGAAGGUGGGGACGACGUCAAAUCAUCACGGCCCUUACGUCCUGGGCUACACACGUGCUACAAUGGCCGGUACAGAGGGAAGCCACCCCGCAAGGGGGCGCGGAUCUACAAAACCGGUCACAGUUCGGAUCGGGGUCUGCAACUCGACCCCGUGAAGCUGGAAUCGCUAGUAAUCGGAUAUCAGCCAUGAUCCGGUGAAUACGUUCCCGGGCCUUGUACACACCGCCCGUCAAGC
rnacentral:rRNA from 1 species